UUUGGAUUUUAUCUAAGCCAACUGUAGGCCUAGGCUUCUGAAUUUGACUGGGCUGUAGGCCAACGCGGUUCGUCCGAAAAAUUUAAGCUUCAACUAUGAAAAGGUUGCAAAAUUGGAAACAGUUCAAAAGUUGCUAUGGGGUGUCCAUGGAGAGUUUAGUGAAACUUUGACAGUGAAUGCAGAAAGCAGACAACUAGAUGGCAAAUCUGUGCUAACUGAUGCCUGGCAACUGUGUCACUUUGAUCUUAAUACAAUAACACCAGAGGAAGCUAUGCAAGCUGAGUUCAGUUUCUGGUGCUAUGGAGAAAACACAAUGCAUGCUCACAUGGUUUACUGUAGCAUUUCCUGGCACUGUUUCCCUUGACACCUCACUGUAUGCCUUGUGUGACUGUGAGAGUGGGGAAAAGCAGCACCACCAAAUGUGAGGGUGGGGGGUGAAUGAAGAUGAAGAGAAGAUCCCAUGUGACCGGUCAGCUCCUGUAUAUCCAAAAGUCUGUUUAACUAAGGCCAACACAUUGGGGACAGACAUUAAGGCUGUUUCGGGCAUUUACAUUAUGCAUCAGUGGAAAACAAAAGAUUUUGGAUUAUUCAUAUUGAAUACCAACCAUGGAAAGAAGCACACACAACAGUGGCAGUGUUCAAAUUAAAACCUUGUUCCAUUUGAUUUUAUUUGUAAAUGCCUUAUUUUGAA